CCAAAACUCUACAGAGACAGCUGGUGAAAUGCGUAGAGCAACUCAAGCGAGAGAAGCAGCAGGUGGAGGGAACGCUGGCGGAGGUGAGGGAGAAGGAAGACGAGAUCAGCCAGGCAAACAAAGACCAACUAAUAAAGCUGGAGAAUGUACAGAGCGAGAUGACCCAGCUGAACCACCAGCACAGGGAGGUGAAGGAGAGGCUGAAGGAGGAGAGGAGGAGAACAGAGGAGCUGAGGAGGGUGAAGAGUGAUCUGGACGAGGAGAGGAGACUGCAGAACGGCACUGUGGAGAAACUGCAGAGGGAGAUGAGUGCUAAGGUGGAGGAGUGUGAGGCGGCCACUGAGAAGCUCCA